UACAGAGGGGGCAAGCGUUAUUCGGAAUUAUUGGGCGUAAAGGGCGCGUAGGCGGCCAUGCGUGUCUUCCGUGAAAUCCCUCGGCUUAACUGAGGACGUGCGGAAGAAACUGCAAGGCUCGAGUCCGGGAGAGGGGGGUGGAAUUCCCAGUGUAGCGGUGAAAUGCGUAGAUAUUGGGAGGAGCACCGGUGGCGAAGGCGGCCCCCUGGACCGGUACUGACGCUGAGGCGCGAAAGCGUGGGGAGCGAACAGG
rnacentral:rRNA from 1 species